GUGGGGAAUAUUGCACAAUGGGCGCAAGCCUGAUGCAGCCAUGCCGCGUGUGUGAAGAAGGCCUUCGGGUUGUAAAGCACUUUCAGCGGGGAGGAAGGCGUUAAGGUUAAUAACCUUGGCGAUUGACGUUACCCGCAGAAGAAGCACCGGCUAACUCCGUGCCAGCAGCCGCGGUAAUACGGAGGGUGCAAGCGUUAAUCGGAAUUACUGGGCGUACAGCGCACGCAGGCGGUCUGUCAAGUCGGAUGUGAAAUCCCCGGGCUCAACCUGGGAACUGCAUUCGAAACUGGCAGGCUAGAGUCUUGUAGAGGGGGGUAGAAUUCCAGGUGUAGCGGUGAAAUGCGUAGAGAUCUGGAGGAAUACCGGUGGCGAAGGCGGCCCCCUGGACAAAGACUGACGCUCAGGUGCGAAAGCGUGGGGAGCAAACAGGAUUAGAAACCCGGGUAGUCC
rnacentral:rRNA from 1 species